rnacentral:rRNA from 1 species
AUUGAACGCUGGCGGCAGGCCUAACACAUGCAAGUCGAACGAGUGGCGGACGGGUGAGUAAUGUAUGGGAAACUGCCCGAUGGAGGGGGAUAACUACUGGAAACGGUAGCUAAUACCGCAUACUAUCAGAUGUGCCCAUAUGGGAUUAGCUGGUGGGUGGGGUAAAGGCUCACCUAGGCGACGAUCUCUAGCUGGUCUGAGAGGAUGACCAGCCACACUGGAACUGAGACACGGCCCAGACUCCUACGUGAGGCAGCAGUGGGGAAUAUUGCACAAUGGGCGCAAGCCUGAUGCAGCCAUGCCGCGUGUAUGAAGAAGGCCUUAGGGUUGUAAAGUACUUUCAGCGGGGAGGCGUUACCCGCAGAAGAAGCACCGGCUAACUCCGUGCCAGCAGCCGCGGUAAUAC